AUUUCAGUAGCUUUCUCAUAUCAAUACAUCAACGAAGAUGGAAAACGCAUUCGAGAUAUGGAAGUGCGCUGUAAUGGUAUCACUCAAACCCAUUUGAUAAGAAGAUCGACGUUUAGAUACAUUCUUAAAAAAUUAAAGAUAAAUCCAAGCGGAUACGUGUAAUUAUAUGUGAAUUAUUCAUCAUCGUUAUCGUUAGCAGAUGUAACGAUAAUCAAGUGGUAAAUCUACGCAAAGUUCUACGUUCAAAAUUGUGGUUUCAUGAAGAGGUAUUCCAACUUAUCCUUGAAAAAGUCCAAUAAUACCAGUGUAGAAAGAGUUGAUGGUUUCAAUGAGGUGACAUUAAAGAUUGUUUCCUUUAAUUAUUGUUUUCCCACGAUGAUCGUACGUGAUUUCAAAUGGAAAAAUUCCUGGAUAAGUGAGCGUUGCAGGGUGCCCUAUGGUACCUUCAAUCAUAACGGUGGUGCAUUCAAGACCCUAUAGGGACAUCUCAGCUGGAUUCAAACCAGCAUAGCUGCAGAAUAAAUGGUGUGGAAUUAAUAUUUCAACUUGAAACCAUUGAAAAAUGUGGUCUAAAUUACUAUGAAAUCACGCACCACUGCUAUGAACAUCGCAGCAUUAUGUAAUUGGAAACAAGAUACGCAUAUGACUCAAAAAUGAAAAUAAUACCUUCGAUGAAAACAACAACCUUAAAACGUGAAAAUAAAUUUUGAUUUGUGAACUUGACCCAUUUCACCUCUCUUUUUACGUAUCCGUUGAAAAAGUUGAAAACGUCCUUUUCACUCGAUGAAAUGAACUCAUCACAAAAAAACCAAAAUUCGAAAAAAUUUCCAGUUUCAAUUUCAAACACCAAAAAAAAGUUUAAAUUUAUUCAGUUGUCUUUUUUGACCUCUUUCUGACGUAUUCCAUAAAAAAGUUGAUAAAAAUCACACUCAUGGCAAAAAAUAAAAAUUUGUUUCCUUAUUUUUUGAAUUUUUUCGAAUUUUGAUUUUUUUUGUGAUAAGUUUAUGUAAUCGAGUGAAAAGGGGGUUUUCAACUUUUUCAACGGAUAAGUAAAAAUAGUGGUCAAAUGGGUCAACUUCACCAAUCAAAACUUUUUUUAAUGUUUUAAAUCAAAAAAUCGCAUUUUUUUCAAUAGACUUUACGAAAUAAUGCCAUCUCAAUUUCUUAAUGUUGUUCAGCAUGAAAAGUUGUCCAUAAAAUAAUUUUUUCAGAAUUUUUGAGAGUCGGAACGACCGACAUGAAAACUACGUUUUGAAACUUUUCGAGUCAAUGUUUCAUACGAGAAAAAGUGGCAACACUGGUUUUUAUGAUAUCACCAAAAAGCUUUUCAAAACCCCUAACUAUUGGGAAAAGUUCCAUUUUGGUAGGUAUCGCGGUUAUCCAGUGAUCCACUGCUGAAAUGGAUGAAUUUUAAGUCCACUGAAAACUUUGACACCCCCUAGCUGUCUUAAAAAAAGGGCUAGAGAGCUGCGAUUUGCGCCUUUGGUCAUUCCUUCAAAAGGUCUUUGCACAGGAAAAAUUUCAAAAAAAAAUCUCCGACCUCCCCCCUGCCACUUCUUGGUCGAAUUGACGUGGAAUGAUUUGUAGGAAAGUAGGUAUUUCAGUUUUAUAAUUUUUUUUUUCAUUUUAAAGGCUUUUUAAAAAAAUUUUCAAGCGUGUUUCAAGCAAAACUCUUGAUUUUUUCACGACUUUGAUGACCGUUAAGACACCCUGAACCAUUUCGUAAAAUGUAUCUUUUCCAUCUACAAGAAUAACAAAGAAGAAUGCAUCCACACGAUGCACUGGUUGCUCUAAUGUUCGAUUUUCGCUGCGAAUAAACAUCGUACGAACAUAUCUCCAUUUUCUCGAUUUAAAAAAACUCCUGCUCGAGAGCUCGAGUAUUGUUGAAGAAAAACGAGUCUUGAAAAUACACCAUCGUUUAUAUAAAAUCGUAUACGUACACGUAACACAAUGUAUGCAUAUGCAUUUCUCAACUAUUUUAUUGUAUACUUUCAGAGAAUUAUUCUACAAUACGUUAUUUUAUUUCGUCUUACGUUCACUUUGAAGUUUGUGUACUUUAUAAAAGCUAUAAAAUUGCUGCUGGUAAACUGAAAAUGUCAUUUUUAUUUGCAAACCACCCAGAAAUACAUUCACGAAUAACGGUCUGUACGAGAAAAUUUACAAACGUACACAAUAUUACGAGUAUUAGCAGAUAAAGUCCAUACGAUGUGUUGAAAGAUGGUUUGAGAAUCGACAGACGUAGAAAAAAAUAGGAAAAUGGAACAUUGAGAUGGAUAAGUGAAAUGCUGAGGAGGGGGGGGGGGGGUAAGAAAUCUGAAAAAUUUGACAGAAUAUGACAAAUUUCAAAAUUCUCAUUGGUCAAACGACUCCAGUGAACUCCUUUUGUAAAAAAACCCACAAUUUCAGAAGACUUCAAUCCCUCUUCACAGCUCACUCAACCUUAGACACGUGAAUUUUCACAUUAUACAAGGUGAAUGCGCGCAUAUCAUCACGAACAAAAUGAGCUGAAAAGUAUGGCACUUAAACCAGCAAAAUACGCGAUCAUAACCUUAAAAAUAAUAACCACCGCAGAGCAAAUAAACGAAAAUUUUUAUUCUUUUUCUAAAAUAUGCAUAAACUAGCAAAGUACGUUAUUUCGCUACACCAAACACCUCGUAAAAUAGGUCGUUGAUUUUUACGCCCUCGAAACCCAUAAUGUAAAUUUACAAAAGACAAAAAAAAAAUAUCCUCAAAGAAAUACUCACACUCGUACCCGCGAAUAAUUUUUUUUUAUGGAUUUUACGCUCGAAAAAAUCUGUAUUAGGUAUACAAAAGCGAUGGAAUUUUCGUUCAGAAUUAAAAACUUUUUUUUUCUUCAUUCUUCAUUUCGUUCAAAUUUUUAAAUAUACGUCGAGUACUGGUAUAACUAAGUAUACCCAACAAACUCUCUUUUACUUAAUAAGAGAGACGAAGAAGAGGAGGAAAACUGAGCCCGAAAUUGGACGAAUCAAAAAAGCAAAAGUCGUCUGGUUUUAAAGCUGCUAAAAAAUUAAUUAAUAAAAAAGAAAUGUUUGGAAGACGAAAGCGGCGGCAAAUUCUCUAUAGAAAGUUUUAUGUAUACUACUUCCUAUUGAUACCAAAAAUUUAUCGCGAAAGUACGAAUAAAACUGACAAAUGGAGAAUUCCAAUUCAGCUAAAUGUAAGCUGCAGGCAAUGCUUAAAGUCUUAGUUUCAGUUAUAAAACUCGUAUACACGAAUAAAAUCUGCUACUUAAGGGUUACGCAGAGGGACGCAGAGUACGCAGCAUCAGUCGAUGUUGAAAUUUCUGUGUUUUUUGGAUUUCACUACACAGCAGAAAAUAAUGCUGCACGAAUGAUAUCUGUUGCGGUAUAGGGUGGUAUAAUUAUAUGGAAAGAUUACAGUUAGGGGAAAUUCGCGCGGAAAUAAGUUUUAUUCGAGGGUGGUGACUUUUUAGAAGACAACGAAAGUUCAUACGUUCAAAUGUGCCGCAAGAUUUAUGUAGUACAUGAGAAGUAAGCGAUAUAAAAUAGCAUCCCUAGAAAAAUACACAAAAUAAGCAACAGUUUUGAAAAUUUUACAACACGGAUUCAUUAAAAACAGAGUAACAUUUUCCAAUUUCCAAUUUCCAAAAAAUAAAAAAAUAUAUGCGCUAAGUGUUGAGGCGAAUCGAUUCGACAUCUCAUUUUUAUUAAAACAGGUAAAAUGUUUGUACCAAAAAAUCUCACGUUAGAAAGAUUUUGAGAAUUUUUCGGUCGAAUAUUCAGUUUCUCUCCAGCUCCUUCCCCCUCUACCACGACAAAGGUUCAAUUAAUUUUUCGACAAUUUCAUGUAAAAUAAAACUCGGCUCGCACCCCCCCCCCGCAAAAAAAUGAAAAUAUUUCUCCUGAAAAUUCAAAAAUUCAAAAUCCCUAAACAACUCUGAACGAUUUCCGCAAAGCGAAGAAUUCCUCUACUGAGGGAGAAAUCCCCGCAUCUGGCAACCCUGGCGUAGCCAUGAUUGUUCCUUGUUCCUUACAUAUAUACAACCAAUACAACCCUGAAAAGAAACCAGUUGAUGUAGUAAGUAGCAAAGUUUUUCAUUAAAAAUAUGGGUUGGCAAUGUGAAAUAGAUGCAUAUGAUUGGUGGAAUGUUAUCUCUCCAGUCCAACAACCAAUCAUGUGCUAUCAUUAUUAUCAUUCACUGUGACCAACCAAAGUAUUUUAGUAGAAAACUUUUUUACGGGUACUCGAUAUUUCUGGGCACCCUGUAUGAUAGGUGGAAUGUUAUCUCUCCAGUCCAAAAACCAAUCAUGUGCUAUCAUUAUUAUCAUUCACUGUGACCAACCAAAGUAUUUAAUAGAAAACUUUUUUAGGGGUACUCGAUAUUUCUGGGCACCCCGUAUAGUAUAGUUUAGUGUAGUACCUAAGUUUUAGGUAAAAAAUUGCGUUAAAACACCAACAAUGGAAUGUCUAUUGAUAAAUUGUGUGUUUUCAGGCAUUGUAAGCUAAUAAAAUUUCCAAAAAAAGAAAAAAAAAUUUCAUAAAAUGUUGGCCCUUGCGCGACUCAAUCCCUGGACUCACACGUCACAUGAUAUACAGUCAUCUUCGCCACGUGCUUAACCCACUGGGCCACGACGCUUCAUGUGGAGAAUGGGUUUAUUUGUGCAUAUAUUCUAUAUUUUUAGGUUUAUGGAGCAAAGUCCUUCAACAGCCUACAAAAAAAUGAUAGAGACAUUACAAUGAUUUUAAGUAUGCGGAGCCGAAUUCCUAUAUUGUGCUUUGAAGCGGUACAGAUCGAAUUGUCAUGGUACCUCCGCAUCCAUCCGAAGCUGUAUGCUAUUUCUACAUAUGAUGUAUGAUGUAAAGUUGUAUGUUUGCAAUUUUUCCCCGAAUUUUAUAAUAAAUAAGUAAUGUUAAAAAUUGUGAAUGAUUGAUUCCAAGUUCUAUGAUUGUAUUGACACACCAGACAAAAUAUUGUCAAAAAAGUUGCUGGUGAUAGGUACACCUUGUUUGAAAACUUCAAAGUCCUUCAAAAGCCUACAAAAAACGAUCUGAAUUUGGAAACAAAAUGUGUGUCAAAUUUUUUUCUCACAAAUCGUGUCAUAAAUACUCAUGUCCUCAAAUAAAAAACAUGUUUAUCUUUGAUUUAAAAAAAAAAAAAAAUGAUUUUCACCGUAAUUUUUAUAAAAUUUUCGCGAAAUUCUUGUUUUUAAGGUAGUUACUAUGGUUGACUACAAAAAUUUUCAUACUUAGUAUUGUUGACUAUGAAAAUUUUUGUAGUUACUUUAGCUGACUAUGAAAAUUUUCAUAGUUACUACAGUGGACUACAACUUACUAUGUUGACCACAAAAAUUUAUCGUAGUAACUAUAGUUCACUAUAAAAAUUUUCGUAGUUACUAUAGUUGACUACAAAAAUUUGCAUAGUAACUAUAGUUGACUUUAGUCAACCAUAGUAUUUUUCCAUAUGGGAGUCUAAAGAUAUUUUGUUAAAAAUUUAAUUUGUUGUUUGUUUAUACUUAUUUGUUCGGUUAUACAUAUGGGGCUGUGCCAGGAGGAAUUCUUUACUUUACAUACAUAGUUUUGCUUAAACUCAAAUAUCUCUGGCUAUAAAGAAAAUUGUAACUAAAAAUUUUUAACUCUUUGUUUAUUUUUACUCGGGUUCAUUACUCCGAAAAUGUUUGAUACGAUAACAUUGUUAUUUAACUCGUGAUUAUUGUUAUAUAUCGAAGACAAUUCAAUUGUCAAAUAUUUUCAUGUUUUGAAAUUUUUUCAUUUUUAAGUUGAUAAAAAAUUUCAAUUCUUCGAGCUGUUAUUCAAGUUCCACGUUAUUUUACAUAUCUGUUAAUGACGAUUUAUUCAGAUUGUUAUAUGGUAGCAAGAGCUAUGGUUAUUUAGCUCGAAAUUUAACUACGUUCGUUAUUCUUUUGAAAAGUCGUCGAUGUUAAGUUCAAUUUUAGGCACGUCGUUGACCAAAACUAAAAAAUAUAUUAAUGUAAAUUUCGUACGUCAUCGAAUUAAAAUAUAAAUAUAAGUAUAUUGCUUUCAUUCUCGUCUGUAGAUUUUUGUGAAAUAGGUAGGUAAUUAGGUAUCGUUGUAUUCUUGUAUUAUAGUCUCAAAUUUGAUUUUGAAUUCUGAUUCUGGUUAUAAUUUUUGAUUCUCGUUCAAAUUGGUCAUUGUAUUUUUUUCAUUCUAUUUUAGGUGUCUUUUAAGGAAAAGUCGUACCAAAUAAGAUCUAAAAUUAAAAUGUAAUUCUUGUCUCGUUAAUUCAAUUUAGAAACUUACUCAGAAAUAUUUCUGAAACCCACCUUUAAAUUUCAGGUACUGCUACUAAUUUAUUCCGAUUCAAAUAUCUAAUAAUUUAUUAA